GCCAUUUUGUUACCUACAUGCUGUGAAAAUCAAAUCUUGAGAAAAGUGGGCAGAUCGAGUGACUGAUGACAAGGGUCUGGGCGUCUGUUUACAGAGCAAAUGCUUUGAAAAUACCUUCCAAUUCGAUCCAUUAGCUGGCAUGGAUAGAGAAAAGGAUCUAACAGGUGGAGUUUCAAACCUGCUACGGUACUUCCUAAACAGACUAAGGGCUGGGGUAAGACCAGCAGACAUACACCUCCCCUUAGCCCUCACCCCCAUCCGGAACUGCCUCUGGACUGCCUCUCCCGCUCCGUUCCAGUUUUCUCAGGCAGCAGUGCGACCAGGGCCACCACAUCGGGAGACUGUAUCAGGGCUUGUUUGAAACCCGUUAGGGCCUCCCAUUGCGCUAGAGGAAGCCCAGGUUUCUUGUCCCCAUCACGUUGACUUGGACCCUUGUGCCUGCUGUAGGACUACCGGGCUGUCAUCCUCCUACUCCAGAAAUAGCCCCUUGCCGGCAGGAGUCGACUCCUGAGUAUUUGAAGUGGAGAGCUGCUGGGUAGGGAUAUGGAAAUGGACAGGGUCUGAACACACCCAUCCUAAGAGAGACCUGACUUUAUGAUUGCCCAGAGGCACCUGCACCACCUGCUUCUGAGAGAGGAUCUGGUGUCUGUUGGGCCUCACUCACCCUGCACUCCACUCCGCUCUGCCCAGCUGCUCAAAACCUGAAAGCCUGAGUCAUCAUCCUGGUGCCAGCUAGCCAGUGAGAGAGUGUGAUGUUCACCCUUGUCUUGACUGUCUCCACCCCAGGCCACAGAGUGGCCUGGGUACCUGGUAAAUGGACCCAUCCUGCCUGCCUCUCUCAGCUGUCCACCCUCUGGCAAAGCAGUCCUCUUCCUGGGAGGACAAGACCAGAGGAACCCCCAGCUCUUCCCUUACUUGAAAGCACUAGGUUUGCAUCCAAGGAAUGAGCAUGCUAACAUGGCUCUUCCUCAGCUUAAUGAAAUCACAUCUGUCUGCUGAGGCUAGAGGACACUCUGUACUCAACCAAAGAGACCUAUGGAGAGACAGACGGUUCCCAAGGCACUACCCUGUCCACCAGCCAUUCUUGUAAGCCAUUUGAGACUCUUAACUCUGCUUUUCUCAAAUGUUGUUCAGAUUACACAAUUUACAGAAUAGUAGUGUGGAAACUGCAUGGAGCUUUGAGCAUAUCCACUCUAAGACAUAUUCUAGGCUCUAAGGAGGUCUCCAGGGUAAUUGCUCACUUCCUUUUCUGGUCACCAAGACAUCGACACCCACAUAUCUGCUGAUCACCUAGGAAGCAUCUGGAAGGUUUAGGGGUGGUGUCCCAGUCAGUGGAGGCUGCUGAUUUGGAACAUGUGGAGCCAUGGAGGAAUGGGGAGCAGCCCUGCAGAGACUUGGGAAAAGAACACUCCAAGAAAAUGAGCAGAAAACUCAAAGCCCAGAUAUAAUACAGGAAACAGAAGGCAUGACUGGAGGCCAAGAAGAGCUGGGUUUGCAGGCCCAAGGACUUUUGGGAAGGGAUAUCAUGGUUGUUGGGAUACAAAUGGCAGAGAGCCCACUGGGCUUGUCAGCUUGGUGGAUAGGUGACCCAAAAGAUAUCUAGUGACAUCCAGAGAGGUUAUAUCAGGGAAAGUAGGCAGAACCCAAAGUCUAGCCACUGAGCAGAAAAGGUGGUGGGGACAGAGGCUCUUCUAAGUCUGUCCUCUCCAUUUGUAAUGAGGCUGAAACACACCAAGGAGCCAGUAAACAAAAUAGUAAAGAAAGAAAUCUAGGCCUAUGCCUUGAACUUUGAAUGACAGGACUUGCAGAAGGCCACAGGUACAACAAACUUCACACAGGAUCAAGCUCAGUAAGUAGGGCUCCUGGGAAACAGGCACUCUCAGCUCAGAAAUAUUUUCUCUCUCAGAUCUAUUUUAUUUUGAAAUGUAGCUGAAACCAACCCCUUCUCCCCAACUUCUGGGCAUAUCUUAGGAUUAGGCAAAUGUGUUGGUUCUUUUACAAGUUGCCUUGGUCAUGGUGUCUCUCCACAGCAAUAGAACAGUGGCUAAGACAACUAAUAGAAGUGAGCCACAGAUCGGCACCUGCUGAAUUUCACUCUCCCUCUGAUGGCCUUGUCAGUGCUGGGUCGUGGCUCCUCUUUAUAUGUUACUUUUCUUGUCACCAUGACAGAAAACCUGACAGAAAAGCUAAAAGGGUGACCAUUUAUUUUAGCUCACAGUUGAAGAGUGGUAGUCCAUCAGGACAGUGAGAGUGGGUCAGCCCAUGGUGAAGGGAGCACAUGGCAGAGCUCCUCACAUCUUGGUAGAUCAGGAAGAAGAGAGCAGAUACCACCUCCAACUCUGCCCGUAUCCCCAUGGGCAUACACAUACACACAGCCUACUUCUGCUAACUAGUCCACAAGUCCCAAAGGUUUCACAACGCCUCAAAACACUGCCAUUAUCUGGUAACCAA
ensembl:lncRNA